rnacentral:rRNA from 1 species
UUAAUUUAUAUAUUAUAUGUUAUAUUAAUAAUUUAAUUUAUAAUUAAAAUAAUAUUUAUUUUAGUAUUUUUUAUAGAAAUGGUAAAAUUAAUGAUAGUUAAUAGUACUGUAAAGGGUUUAAUUUAUUUAUUUAAAAGUAUAAUUAAUUUAGUACCUUUUGUAUCAGGGUUUAUUUAUUUUUUUUAAUUAUUUUAAUUUUCCCGAAAUUAAAAGAGAUAAAAUUAAAUGUAAGUUUAUGUAAUAAUAUAAUUUAUUAUUUAAUUUUAGGAAUUAUAUGUUAUUCAAUUUUAAAUAUCUGGUUACUUAAGAAUUAAAUUUAAUUUAGGAAUUUUAAUUAGUUAAUUUAUAAUUUAAUUUGAAUUGAUUUAAUAUUCUAAAAUUACUAGGGAUUAGCUUAGUUAUUUAUUUAUAUAGUUAAUAAAAAUUUUAGAGCUUGUAGGAUUAGUAAUGUCCAUCUUUUAUUUUAUUAUAAUUAAUUUUAUUUAGUUAUUUUAUUUUUUUAUUCUUAUUUUAGUAUUAAGUAGUAAUUUUUUAUUAAUUAUAAUUAGUUAUAAUGAUAAAAUAAGUAGAAUUUUAAAUUAAAUUUAGGAACUCGGCAAUUUUUAUUUUCGCCUGUUUAACAAAAACAUGGCUUAUAGUAUAUUAAUUUUAAGUCUGACCUGCUCAAUGAAUAUUAUUUUUAAAUUGCUAUAGUAUUUUGACUAUACAAAGGUAGCAUAAUAAUUUGUUUUUUAAUUGAAGACUUGUAUGAAUGGUUGGACGAGAGAUAAACUUUCUUAAUUUAAGUUAUAUUUUGAAUUUAAUAUUUUUGUAAAAAAGCUUAAAUAUAGUUGUGGGACGAGAAGACCCUAUAGAAUUUUAAUAAGGUUUUAAUAAUAUUAGUAUAGAUAGGGUUACUUAAUAUUAUUAAAACCUUAUUUUUGUUGGGGUGAUAGUGGAAAAUUUUUAACUUCCAUUAAAAGUUUUCAUUAAUUAAUGUAUAGUUGAUCCUAUAUUAUAGAUUAAAAGAUUAAAUUACCUUAGGGAUAACAGCGUUAUUAUUUUGGAGAGUUCAUAUUGAUGAAAUAGUUUGCGACCUCGAUGUUGGAUUAAAGUUAGUUUUAUAGUGCAGAAGCUUAAUAACUAGGUCUGUUCGACCUUUAAAUCUUUACAUGAUCUGAGUUCAGACCGGCGUGAGCCAGGUUGGUUUCUAUCUACAAUAAUGUAAAACAAUAUAGUACGAAAGGACCUAUUGUUUUUAAUAUUUAAUUUAUGAAUGUUAAUUAUU